AUACUUACCUGGCAAGGGAAACACCAUGAUCAUGAAGGUGGUCUUCCCAGGAUGAGGUGUAUCCAUUGCACUUGGGGGAUGCUGACAUCUUCUGACCCUGUUUGAACUUAGGGUCCUAGACCCUGCCCCUGAGCUUUUUCUCC
ensembl:snRNA U1 U1 spliceosomal RNA